CACGUAGGCGGAUUAGUCAGUCAGAGGUGAAAUCCCAGGGCUCAACCCUGGAACUGCCUUUGAUACUGCUAGUCUUGAGUUCGAGAGAGGUGAGUGGAAUUCCGAGUGUAGAGGUGAAAUUCGUAGAUAUUCGGAGGAACACCAGUGGCGAAGGCGGCUCACUGGCUCGAUACUGACGCUGAGGUGCGAAAGCGGUGGGGAGCAAACA
rnacentral:rRNA from 1 species